rnacentral:rRNA from 1 species
UGUCCUACGGGACGCAGCAGUGAGGAAUAUUGGUCAAUGGGCGAGAGCCUGAACCAGCCAAGUCGCGUGAGGGAAGACGGUCCUAUGGAUUGUAAACCUCUUUUGCCGGGGAGCAAAAAGCGGUACGUGUACCGCAUCGAGAGUACCCGGAGAAAAAGCAUCGGCUAACUCCGUGCCAGCAGCCGCGGUAAUACGGAGGAUGCGAGCGUUAUCCGGAUUUAUUGGGUUUAAAGGGUGCGCAGGCGGCGAGUUAAGUCAGCGGUAAAAUCGUGGGGCCCAACCCCAUCCCGCCGUUGAAACUGGCG